rnacentral:rRNA from 1 species
UACGUAGGGUGCAAGCGUUAAUCGGAAUUACUGGGCGUAAAGUGUGCGCAGGCGGCAGAGCAAGUCGAGUGUGAAAAGCCCCGAGCUUAACUUGGGAAUUGCGCUCGAAACUACUUUGCUGGAGUGUGGCAGAGGAAGGUGGAAUUCCAGGUGUAGCGGUGAAAAUGCGUAGAGAUCUGGAGGAACACCGAUGGCGAAGGCAGCCUUCUGGGCCAACACUGACGCUCAUGCACGAAAGCGUGGGGAGCAAACAGG